UACGAAGGGGGCUAGCGUUGCUCGGAAUUACUGGGCGUAAAGCGCACGUAGGCGGAUCGAUCAGUCAGGGGUGAAAUCCCAGAGCUCAACUCUGGAACUGCCUUUGAUACUGUCGAUCUGGAGUAUGGGAAGAGGUGAGUGGAAUUCCGAGUGUAGAGGUGAAAUUCGUAGAUAUUCGCAAGAACACCAGUGGCGAAGGCGGCUCACUGGCCCGGUACUGACGCUGAGGUGCGAAAGCGUGGGGAGCAAACAGG
rnacentral:rRNA from 1 species